rnacentral:rRNA from 1 species
UACGUAGGGUGCGAGCGUUGUCCGGAAUUAUUGGGCGGUAAAGGGCUCGUGAGGCGGUUUGUCGCGGUCGGGAGUGAAAACCUCGGGCUUAACUCGGGGCUUGCUUUCGAUACGGGCAGACUGGAGGUAUGCAGGGGAGAGGAAUUCGUGUAGCGGUGGAAAUGACGCAGAUAUCAGGAGGAACACCGGUGGCGAAGGCGGGUCUCUGGCCCGGUAACUGACGCUGAGGGUGCGAAAGCGUGGGGGAGCAAACAGG